GACGAACGCUGGCGGCGUGCUUAACACAUGCAAGUCGAACGGAAAGGCCCAGCUUGCUGGGUGCUCGAGUGGCGAACGGGGGAGUAACACGCGGGUGUACCGCCCCCUACACCGGGAUAAGCCUUGGAAACUGGGGCUAAUAUCGGAGAGGACAAUCGCUUAGUGUUGGUUGUGGUAGGUUUUUUUGGUCGGUUGGGGAUGGGCGCGCGGCCUAUCAGCUUGUUGGUGGGGUAGUGGCUUACCAAGGCGUCGACGGGUAGCCGGCCUGAGAGGGUGACCGGCCACAUUGGGACUGAGAUACGGCCCAGACUCCUACGGGAGGCAGCAGUGGGGAAUAUUGCACAAUGGGCGCAAGCCUGAUGCAGCAACGCCGCGUGGGGGAUGACGGCCUUCGGGUUGUAAACCUCUUUCGCCUGGGACGAAGCUUUAGUGACGGUACCUGGAAAAGAAGCACCGGCUAACUACGUG
rnacentral:rRNA from 1 species